rnacentral:rRNA from 1 species
GGAAGUAAAAGUCGUAACAAGGUUUCGGUAAAGAUCCUUCUUUGAAGCCUCCCACACAUCGACUAUAACCCUGUGUGCAGUCUAGAAAUAGGCGACGUCACCCCUGUGCUGGAACGCUACCUCAACAAUGGCGGAUCAGCAGCCAGGCUUUCCUGGUCCACAGAUUAGGUGGUGGCGGUCCCCCGAACGUCUUGUUGGGGAUGAAGAUAUAAUCGGUCUCCGUCACUUCGAUUUGAUGGUUGAGAGACGUUCCGUAGGUGAACCUGCGGAAGGAUCAUUAUCGAGUUAGGGUCCUCUGGGCCCCAAUCUCCAACCCUUGUCUAUAUUACCAUGUUGCUUUGGCGGGUCCGUCUUUAACCGGACCGUUGGGGGGUUUUCCCCCUGGCUCGUGCCCGUCAGUAGCCCCCAUAAAUUCUUGUCACGGUGGUGUCUAAGUCUCAAAAUAAUAACUAAAACUUUCAACAACGGAUCUCUUGGUUCUGGCAUCGAUGAAGAACGCAGCGAAAUGCGAUAAGUAAUGCGAAUUGCAGAAUUCCGUGAGUCAUCGAAUCUUUGAACGCACAUUGCGCCCUUUGGUAUUCCGAAGGGCAUGCCUGUUCGAGCGUCAUUAUCAACCCUCAAGCUCGGCUUGCUGUUGGGUCCCACCGCUGAGACACUCGGUGGACCCGAAAGAUAAUGGCAGAGCCCGUGGGGACGCUGGAUGCAACGAGCUUUUCAGCACGCGUCUGGACGUCCUGCGGCCCGGUCUUACCAAAUCUACGUCUCAGAUUGACCUCGGAUCAGGUAGGGAUACCCGCUGAACUUAAGCAUAUCAAUAAGCGGAGGAAAAGAAACCAACAGGGAUUGCCUCAGUAACGGCGAGUGAAGCGGCAACAGCUCAAAUUUGAAAUCUGGCUCCUUUGGGGGUCCGAGUUGUAAUUUGUAGAGGAUGCUUCGGGUAAGGCUGCGGUCUAAUUUGCUUGGAACAGCGAGUCAUAGAGGGUGAGAAUCCCGUCUAGGAUGGCGAGCCGCGCCCGUGUGAAGCUCCUUCGACGAGUCGAGUUGUUUGGGAAUGCAGCUCUAAAUGGGUGGUAAAUUUCAUCUAAAGCUAAAUAUUGGCCAGAGACCGAUAGCGCACAAGUAGAGUGAUCGAAAGAUGAAAAGCACUUUGAAAAGAGAGUUAAACAGUAUGUGAAAUUGUUGAAAGGGAAGCGCUUGCAAUCAGACUUGAGUGU